GACGGAGGUCCCGAGCGUUGUUCGGAAUUAUUGGGCUUAAAGCGCGUGUAGGCGGAGCGGUAAGUACCUUGUGAAAUCCCCCGGACUCAAUCCGGGAACUGCUUGGUAUACUGCCGUUCUCGAGGCAGGUAGGGGUCACUGGAACCUUAGGUGGAGCGGUGAAAUGCGUAGAUAUCGUCUGGAACGCCAAAGGUGAAAAACAGCUCGCUGGGGGAUGUGCCGACGCUGAGAUACGAAAGCCAGGGGAGCGAACGGG
rnacentral:rRNA from 1 species